GCCCGGAUGGUGAAAUAGGUAGACACGUGGGACUUAAAAUCCCAUGAGUGAUGAGCUCGUGCCGGUUCAAGUCCGGCUCCGGGUACCA
rnacentral:tRNA from 1 species